rnacentral:rRNA from 1 species
UACGGGGGGGGCAAGCGUUGUUCGGAAUUACUGGGCGUAAAGGGCUCGUAGGUGGCCAACUAAGUCGGACGUGAAAUCCCUCAGCUUAACUGGGGAACUGCGUCCGAUACUGGAUGGCUCGAGUUUGGGAGAGGGAUGCGGAAUUCCAGGUGUAGCGGUGAAAUGCGUAGAUAUCUGGAGGAACACCAAUUGCGAAGGCAGCUCACUACACGAAUAUUGACACUGAGGCACGAAAGCGUGGGGAUCAAACAGG